rnacentral:rRNA from 1 species
GACGAACGCUGGCGGCGUGCCUAAUACAUGCAAGUAGAACGCAGUUGCGAACGGGUGAGUAACGCGUAGGUAACUGCCUCAUAGCGGGGGAUAACUAUUGGAAAAGAUAGCUAAUACCGCAUACUGUGAGAUGGACCUGCGUUGUAUUAGCUAGUUGGUGGGGUAAAGGCUCACCAAGGCGACGAUACAUAGCAGACCUGGGAGGGUGAUCGGGCAAACGGGGACUGGGCAAAGGGCCAGAAUCCUACGGGAGGGAGCAGUAGGGAAACUUCGGCAAUGGGCGGAAGGCUGACCGAGCAACGCCGCGUGAGUGAAGAAGGUUUUCGGAUCGGAAAGCUCUGUUGUUAGGGAAGCGGUAACUAAACAGAAAGGGACGGCUAACUACGUGCCAGCAGCCGCGGUAAUAC